rnacentral:rRNA from 1 species
UACAGAGGGGGCAAGCGUUGUCCGGAAUUACUGGGCGUAAAGGGCGCGUAGGCGGCCUGCUAAGUCGAACGUGAAAUCCCUGGGCUCAACCCAGGAACUGCGUCCGAUACUGGUUGGCUUGAAUCCGGGAGAGGGAUGUGGAAUUCCCGGUGUAGCGGUGAAAUGCGCAGAUAUCGGGAGGAACACCGGUGGCGAAGGCGGUUCUCUGGGCCUGUACUGACGCUGAGGAGCGAAAGCGUGGGGAGCGAACAGG